CCUACUUGGAUAACUGUGGUAAUUCUAGAGCUAAUACAUGCUUCAAUAUUUCCGACCUUAACGGGGAGGAAGGCUUUUAUUAGACCAGAACCUAUUCGGUGCCGCGGGUUCGCGCUCGCGAGUGCCGGUUUCUUGGUGACUCUGAAUAACUUUGGGCUGAUCGCACGGUCUUUGCACCGGCGACGGGUCUUUCAAAUGUCUGACUUAUCAACUGUCGAUGGUAGGUUAUGCGCCUACCAUGGUUGUCACGGGUAACGGGGAAUCAGGGUUCGAUUCCGGAGAGGGAGCCUGAGAAACGGCUACCACAUCCAAGGAAGGCAGCAGGCGCGCAAAUUACCCACUCCCGGCACGGGGAGGUAGUGACGAAAAAUAACAAUACGGGACUCAUCCGAGGCCCCGUAAUUGGAAUGAGUACACUUUAAAUCCUUUAACGAGGAUCCAUUGGAGGGCAAGUCUGGUGCCAGCAGCCGCGGUAAUUCCAGCUCCAAUAGCGUAUAUUAAAGUUGCUGCGGUUAAAAAGCUCGUAGUUGGAUCCCAGUUGCAGACGGGCGGUCCGCCUCAUGGCGGUUCACUGCCCCGUUCUCGACAUACCUCCGGUUAUAUUUGUCCCGCGAUGCUCUUUACCGGGUGUCGCGGGGGGCCGGUACGUUUACUUUGAAAAAAUUAGAGUGCUCAAAGCAGGCGAUGGCCAGAAUAAUGGUGCAUGGAAUAAUGGAAUAGGACCUCGGUUCUAUCUUGUUGGUUCUUCGGAACACGAGGUAAUGAUUAAUAGGGACGGACGGGGGCAUUCGUAUUGCGACGUUAGAGGUGAAAUUCUUGGAUCGUCGCAAGACGAACUACUGCGAAAGCAUUUGCCAAGAAUGUUUUCGUUAAUCAAGAACGAAAGUUAGAGGUUCGAAGGCGAUCAGAUACCGCCCUAGUUCUAACCAUAAACGAUGCCAACCAGCGAUCCGUCGGCGUUACUUCGAAUGACCCGACGAGCAGCUUCCGGGAAACCAAAGUUUCUGGGUUCCGGGGGAAGUAUGGUUGCAAAGCCGAAACUUAAAGGAAUUGACGGAAGGGCACCACCAGGAGUGGAGCCUGCGGCUUAAUUUGACUCAACACGGGAAACCUCACCAGGCCCGGACACUUGGAGGAUUGACAGAUUGAGAGCUCUUUCUUGAUUCAGUGGGUGGUGGUGCAUGGCCGUUCUUAGUUGGUGGAGCGAUUUGUCUGGUUAAUUCCGAUAACGAACGAGACCCUUUCCUGCUAAAUAGGCAGAAGAUCCUCAUGUAGUGUCUGACGUU
rnacentral:rRNA from 1 species